rnacentral:rRNA from 1 species
UAAGUGGUGGAAAUUAAACCAAAUGGGAUUCCUUAAGUAAUUGCGAAUGAACAAGGACAUGCUUAGCUUGACAAUUGGAGCCUCUGGCUUCGACUUGUAUUUUUGAAAUGUAUUACCAACAGAGGUGCAGGUGUCAGCCUAUUGAAAGAAAGCGUCAAUGAGGGUGAGAAUCCUGUUUGUCAUGUGCAAUCCUCUGUGCACGGUGUAUGUUUGCUGAGUCACACUCCUUGGCAUUGGAAUGCAAAGUGGGUGGUAAGUUUCAUGUAAAGGUAAAUAUAGGAUUGAGACUGAUAGCACACAAGUACCAUGAGGGAAAUAUGAAAAGGACUUUGAAAAGAGAAUUAAAUGAGUUUGUAUUUGCUGAACAGAAAAUAAACAGAUUUGAUGUUGCUUGGUGAGAUUGUGGUGCUUGCUUGACAAUAGGUUUUGAUUGUGGGUGUGAUGAUUCUUGCUUUGCUUGCCAGUUUCUAUUUGUACAUUUGAUUACCCUUGCACAUGAAUGGUAAUUUUCCUGCGGGGUUUGGAUUGCAUGUGUUUGUGAUGAUUUGUGUUUUGAUACAUGUGUCUGGUGCUUUUGUAAUUGCUCAUUUCUUGAAGCUGGGCCUACCCUACUAGAGCUUACAAGCCCUGGCACACAAUUGCUGGCAAAAUGCUUCUGCUUG